rnacentral:lncRNA from 1 species
CAUGAAAAUGGCUUAAAAGACUAACUUAACUAAAAAACACAACAUAAAUGCACAAGAACUAGCUAACUAAGGCGCACAAAUAUGCUCAUAUCAACCAUUGGAUGAUUUAACAGUAAACUUCACGUGCUUUCUACUUCACAAGAAAUCUUCGACAAAUUGCCCGUAAUUUUCGCAAGGCUUAGUGUGCAUGUGACAGGCGCUGACACGUCUGGAAAAGUAGAUGCCUCUUCCAUAUCUGGAAUCGACGCUUUAACAAACUACCCAUGAUUUCCGCAAAGCUGAGUGUGCAUGUGACAGGCGCUGACACGUCGGGAAAAGCAAGUGCCUCUUCGAUAUCUGGAAUCAGCGCUUCGACAAACUGCUCGUGAUUUCCGCAAAGCUGAGUGUGCAUGUGACAGAUGCUGACACGUCUGGAAAAGCAGAUGCCUCUCCGAUUUCUGAGCUUGCCUUUUCGAGUUUUAAGCUCGCCUCUUCGUGUUCUGAGCUCCGUCGAGUGCAGAGGUUGCAUGUGACAAGUGCGGACAAAUCUGGAAAAUAAGAUUGGCCCAUGGUUUCUGAGGAAGCCCAACUUUUGAGAAAGCUAGCGCCUCUUCGAUUUUUGAAUUGGCCUCUUUGAUUUCUAAGCUCACCUCUUCGAUCUCUGAAAUCCCGUCGAGUGAUGGUUUUUAUAGAGGCGCGUAGUACGUUUCAAAGCACACUUGAAUUUCUGCCUGUAGAAACUCCCUACUUGCACUUCUACGAUCUUGACUUGUCCGACCUCUUCUUUCUUCAACACCUUUGAAAAUGUCUGGCCCCUCCGACCGUCGUUUUGACUUGAACCUUGGUGAAGAGGCAGCCAUGCCUUCUCCAGACAACAUAUGGCGCCCAUCCUUCGUAUCCCCUACUAGUUGAUAGGAGCAUAUUUAUGCGACUUAGUUAACAUGUUUUCUUGCACUUACUUAGUUAGUUAUUUCUUAUAAGAGUGUUUUAAAUCAUUUUCGUAUGUUUGUAGAUCCUAAUAACAAAGUUGGCAAGAAAAGUGCAUUUUGGUGCAUUUUGGAGCAAUUUUGGGCUGAAAUGGAUUGCAUGCACUUGGAGACAUGAGGAUGGAUGUUUUGGGAAGAUUAGAAUUCAGCAUAUGUGUGUGCAAGUGUGUGACCUACAACUAACAAACAUCAUAGCUGCCAUGUGAUGGAGACAACAUCAUACAAGGCACAUGCAAAGAAACACACACGGCAUGGGCAAAGAGAAAAACACACAUGGACAACUUGGCAUGGACAGGUUGGAGGGCAGAAAAUGUGUUUGUUUUAUGGUUGAAAUGAUGAGGAACAUGUGUGUGCAAAUGGGCAAAAGAAACACAUACACAUGGGCAAAGGAAAGGCACGACAUGGGCAAAAAAUACACCACUACAUUCAUUCAUUACCACAACACUCACCCAUGUCCCCUUCAUUAUUUCUAUUUUCCUGCACCAUUACAUUUAAUCAUUGCACUGAAGUUGUGCACAUCCCUUGUCCCCUUCACCCAUCAGAUUUCAUUCACUUUCACCUCCACUACAUGCACUCAUUGAUGCACCACUCCUCCACUUUCCUUGCCCAUGCCGUGCAUCAUGAAUCCACCUGCACCUAUGACUAAUUUCUGCAUCAUUCCACCUUGAUGCGAAAUAGAUAAGCACACAAAUUAAACCCUCUUUUGUCAAAUUGUAGUAGAGAUGAAAGUAGGGAUCGUUCUAGACAGGGGAUUAGGAGGGAUUGCUAAACACUUGGAAACUGACUUAAAAA